rnacentral:miRNA from 1 species
CAUCAUAUUAGAUUGAUGCAGAAGCAACUGCGGUUUUGCCAUUACUUUCAAUGGCAAAAAUCAAAAUUACUUUUGCACCAACAUAAUA